AUAAACUCAUAUUACUGCAUAAAAGGCCAUAAAACCUGUCAUUUUCCCGUUUCUCCACCAUUUGGUAGCGGCCGAAUUUGUCGGUGAACCCCGCAAAAAACUUCCGGAUAUCGGUGAUAUCCGCAAAAAUUUCAGCGACUCUGGCAGAACACUAUCGGAGCAAAGUGGUGGUUUAAGGUUUUCUGGGCUUCCGCGACUUCGUCUUCUCCUGUUUUAUGCUCAAAUUGCCCUCGUUGUUUUCGAGCUCUACCCAUCAUAAUACCCACCCAUCACGAGUCCCUCAUUGCCUGGGCAAAAUUCAGGUUUCUGACCUGCACAAGGAAAGCCGUAACCGGAGUAUUUUGUGUGAUAAGCACACUCUGGAGGAAUCAGGAGAGGCAAAGCCCCUGCUUCUGAUGUUCUGUACGAGGACGCAUUCACAAUUGAUGAUGCUGGUUAUGCUGAGGAGCUUUUGUUCCAAGAAACACUGAUAGCCUCACUUUUUGCUUCAGAGUUGGACUAUCCAUCUUCAUCAAUGCAAGAGCCUGAACUAAUACAGAAAUAAUAAGGGUUCGGGCCAAAUCUUCUGUGGGAUAUGCUUGGAAGACAAAACGAUCUGGCUGAUGUUCGCGAACGACACGUGUCAACACUCAUUCUGCUAUGAAUGCACAGCCAGCCACAUUGAAGCAAAGAUCCAAGAAAAAGUGGGAGAGAUAGCUUGCCCUGCACCAGGCUGCAAAGCUGAGCUUGAUUCUGUUGCUUGUAGCUACGCAAAUGAUCUCCGAUGAGGCCCUUGUUCAGUGGGACGAGGUGCUCUGCAUGUCACUCAGCACCGAACACACAGAGGCAACACCGGACACUCCUAGGCGGCGGUAAAUCGAUGGCUCCGAUAACCACAGGUAAGCCGUUACAGAAAUAGCUAAUUUGAUGACUCAAGUUUAAGAUUUGGGGUUUAUACAGUACUAUAUUCAUGUGCAAGCACAUUGCGCAUUAUUGUUGAAACUCAAAUUUUGGUAUAUGAUGUAGGAGUUGAUGGUGUAGCUCUAGAUUCGGUUUGUUUGUGUUAUCUAUUUUGAAAUUCAUGUUGUGAUUCGGUUUAGUUUUGUUGUUUGGAGAUCUCAUUUUUGUACAUUUUGUGAUAAAAUUGUAGGGCACAUUGUUGAUCAGAAAAUAGUGAGAGAAAUUUGAAAAGGGAAGAAUGUGGAAGCAGUUUAAAGAUGUUUCCGCUGCCUGCUCAGGCGGCUUCGCUGCGAAGCGGGCUUCGUCUGCGGUGUUUCCAGCCAGUGUGAUUGCAGGAAUCGAGCCAUUGCUUACGUUUUAAAAUGUUUCAAACUCGAAGAAGAUGAAUCUGUUCAUUAGUUAGUUGAGUCUUUGUUGUGUUGUGUUUGAUUUCUCUGAUCCUACCAAAAAUGUUCAAGAAAAUGAGCUUAAAACGAGCCACAUUGGUCUAGCUAGUCGAUUUUGUAUCCGAAA